CCUGUAAUUAUAUUACAUUUGUUGAAGAAAUUUUUAAACAUCAGAUAGUGUUUAGGCUUUUGAAAUUAAUUUUUUCAAUAGAGUUGUUUAAAAGGAGGGACUCUUAAGAGUCAGAUUACAAUAAAUAUUAACAGUUUCUCUUCUCUAACCUUAUAGGACUGGAUUUUAACAAAACGUGAGUUUUACAUUUAAGAGAACAGAGAAAAUACCUCAAGCAAGAUGACACCAACCUGAAAAUUUAACUCUGGGUCCCAUGAGCCCCAGGUCAAGAAGCUCCAAUAUUAAAGGAUGAAUGGACUGCAUAGCUUUCAGAUGCUACUGUCCUCACAGUCGGGAUCAUGAAAAAUUCCUGGAGGAAUGUGAGUCGGGAGAGGAGGAGUCAGGAAAGGAGGGAGGAGAGAGCAGGAGAGGGUGGGGUGAUGGAGCAUUUGUUUUUCUGAUAAUAAAGGUGGAUUCUAUGCAUGUCUUCCCAACUCUGCACUUAGUAGCACCAUGUUGCUAGCUUGAAAUUAGUCAUAGUGGGAGUAUUUAUACCAUGCAAAUUGCCAAGCAUUACAAAUGAGGGCUUUUUUCCCUUGAAGAGCUGGUGGUUAUACAUUUAGCACCAGUAUACUGCACCCGAUAGGCCUAGAGUCUAGACUCAAAUUCCAUUGUAUUUUCCUGUCUGAGAAAACAGGCUCUUGUCUCUCCCGGCCUUGGACAUGAACUCAACUUUACAGCUUCCUGGGUGGAUAAGGGGGUGGAUGGGCAUAGAGACGGGCUGUGGAAGCCUCAUAGCAGCACACAGGGACACAGGCACUUUUCUCUACAUUCAGCAUUCAGGCAUCUACCUCCUAUUCUUCGGCAAGAUCCUUCCACCACCAAAACUGUUUUCCCCCACUCUCCCUUUCCCUUCCCCAUUAAAGAAGACAAGUAGCAUUGGAGUUUGUUUCUAUAUUCCAUCUGUACUUUUGUUUUUUAUUUUUAUUGUUUAGUUCAUGACUAACAUUUGCUUUUUGUAGGCGAGGUAACUUAUUUUACUUUUACCAAUAUAUUUGUUGCAAAUGUUUUUGCUGCCCACUAUUUAUAUAUACUUAUAAUAACAAUAUCCUGAUUCCUCAUAUCCAUAUGCUUUGGAUGGUAUUGGCCUGCUUCUGGCUCUGGGAGUAGACAGUCCUCAGAUCUGGCCCAACUCAUGGUGAAUGGCUCAGGAGUGGGCAUGUAGCCAAUCAGGGGACCCAAGAUGCAGAGACAAUUGCAGAGACUGUUCAGAUAUAGGCAUUUCUUCACUGGGUAUCAACCUGGGAGAAUAUAAUUCAGGACCUGCUAGGGAAGGAGAAGAUCCUAUUCACAAAGUUUUAGUCCCUGGAUCCAACAAUGCUUGCUUGUCAUUUAAUUACUAGAUUUUAUAG